rnacentral:rRNA from 1 species
GAUGAACGCUGGCGGCGUGCCUAAUACAUGCAAGUCGAGCGAACAGACGAGGAGCUUGCUCCUCUGACGUUAGCGGCGGACGGGUGAGUAACACGUGGAUAACCUACCUAUAAGACUGGGAUAACUUCGGGAAACCGGAGCUAAUACCGGAUAAUAUAUUGAACCGCAUGGUUCAAUAGUGAAAGACGGCUUUGCUGUCACUUAUAGAUGGAUCCGCGCCGCAUUAGCUAGUUGGUAAGGUAACGGCUUACCAAGGCGACGAUGCGUAGCCGAGGUGAGAGGGUGGUCGGCCACCCUAGAACUGAGACACGGUCCAGAGGACUACGGGACGCAGCAGUAGGGAAUCUUCCGCAAUAGGCGAAAGCAUGACAGAGCGACGCCGCGUGAGUGAUGGAGGUCUUCGGAUCGUAAAGCUCUGUUAUUAGGGAAGAACAAAUGUGUACGUAAAUAUGCACGUCUUGACGGUAACUAAUCAGAAAGCAACGGCUAACUACGUG